GGGCGGCUUUCCGAUUAUUGGGCGUAAGAGCUCGUAGGCGGUUUGUCGCGUCUGCCGUGAAAGUCCGGGGCUCAACUCCGGAUCUGCGGUGGGUACGGGCAGACUAGAGUGAUGUAGGGGAGACUGGAAUUCCUGGUGUAGCGGUGAAAUGCGCAGAUAUCAGGAGGAACACCGAUGGCGAAGGCAGGUCUCUGGGCAUUAACUGACGCUGAGGAGCGAAAGCAUGGGGAGCGAACAGGAUUAGAUACCCUGGUAGUCCAUGCCGUAAACGUUGGGCACUAGGUGUGGGGGACAUUCCACGUUUUCCGCGCCGUAGCUAACGCAUUAAGUGCCCCGCCUGGGGAGUACGGCCGCAAGGCUAAAACUCAAAGGAAUUGACGGGGGCCCGCACAAGCGGCGGAGCAUGCGGAUUAAUUCGAUACAACGCGAAGAACCUUACCAAGGCUUGACAUGGGCCGGACCGGGCUGGAAACAGUCCUUCCCCUCUGGGGCCGGUUCACAGGUGGUGCAUGGUUGUCGUCAGCUCGUGUCGUGAGAUGUUGGGUUAAGUCCCGCAACGAGCGCAACCCUCGUUCCAUGUUGCCAGCGCGUUAUGGCGGGGACUCAUGGGAGACUGCCGGGGUCAACUCGGAGGAAGGUGGGGACGACGUCAAAUCAUCAUGCCCCUUAUGUCUUGGGCUUCACGCAUGCUACAAUGGCCGGUACAAAGGGUUGCGAUACUGUGAGGUGGAGCUAAUCCCAAAAAGCCGGUCUCAGUUCGGAUUGGGGUCUGCAACUCGACCCCAUGAAGUCGGAGUCGCUAGUAAUCGCAGAUCAGCAACGCUGCGGUGAAUACGUUCCCGGGCCUUGUACACACCGCCCGUCAAGUCACGAAAGUUGGUAACACCCGAAGCCGGUGGCCUAACCCCUUGUGGGAGGGAGCUGUCGAAGGUGGGACUGGCGAUUGGGACUAAGUCGUAACAAGUAAC
rnacentral:rRNA from 1 species